AAGUUCGAUAUAACAUAGUUUCACCUAUAGCGUGGUAAGAUUUUUUGGCUCCCGAGGACCGCGUUAUAUCAGGGUAGAGGUGUAUCUGUAGUGAAGAG